rnacentral:lncRNA from 1 species
AGCUCUGCUGUGUGCCUGCAGAACGCAGGGACUGCCUUCCCAGCUGCCUCUGCGCAGCCAGAACCUUCCACUGAGAAGCCAGGCGCUUCUACAUGGUAGAGCUGAGCCAAGAACUUCAGACGUAACCAACGCACAGGACAAGCUCUGGGGACCGUGUCUCCUGAACGCACACGACACAAGCUGAGGGGAGCCACUCCUUAGAAACAAUUAAACAGGAAUAUUACAGGAUUCAGUAUCCCUCUUUGGGAACUGGUGGACCCGUCACCCCCAAAUGAAAUCAGCACUUCUCAAAGUGUCCUGUAUUUAUGGUAGCACUAGCCACAGUAGCCAGGAUACAAAAAAAAAAAAAAAAAAAAAGAAAAAAGAAAAAAGAAAAAAGAAAGAAAGAAAGAAAGACUUGUGAAUGGCUAAAGUUUGAUACACACCUCUAGAGAGAGGGGGAGAGAGAGAGCCUUAAAAAUUAAAAAUGAAUUUUAAGGAAUUAUAUCACAUUCUAAACAUGUGUAACAAACAAACAAAAAGGAGGAUGUUUUUUCAAGACUCCCAUAGUAAGAAAAGAAGAAAGCCAGAUGGUUCCAGUUUUGUUUGUGGAAGCAACCACAGAGGACUCACACUGAGCCCAGCUGCCUCUUCACCCUUGCAGGUUUCUGUGGGUUGUACCUGGUGAAGCAAUGGAUCAUACUAACCAUGGACUGAAACUCCAGACGCCAUGACUUCAGACUCCGGCUACCUUGGAGACAGCUGUGUGAGCACUGAAAGUGGUGAUAACUAUAAUUGACUGUGGAAAUAAUGAUGAUCCAUAAAUCUACAUUGGAACUCUGUGUGCAUGUGAGAGAGACAGGAACACACACACACA